UACAGAGGUCUCAAGCGUUGUUCGGAUUCAUUGGGCGUAAAGGGUGCGUAGGCGGCGCGUUAAGUCGGGUGUGAAAUCUUGGAGCUUAACUCCGAAACUGCAUUCGAUACUGCCGUGCUUGAGGACUGGAGAGGAGACUGGAAUUUACGGUGUAGCGGUGAAAUGCGUAGAUAUCGUAAGGAAGACCAGUGGCGAAGGCGGGUCUCUGGACAGUUCCUGACGCUGAGGCGCGAAGGCCAGGGGAGCAAACGGG
rnacentral:rRNA from 1 species